CAGCACCCAACAUGGACAUGAGGACCCCUUCGCUGCUCCUGGGACUCCUGCUGCUCUGGCUCCCAGGUGCCAGAUGUGACAUCCAGAUGACCCAGUCUCCAGCCUCCCUGUCUGCAUCUCCAGGAGACACAGUCUCCCUCACUUGCCGGGCCAGUCAAGGCAUUAACAGUUGGUUAGCCUGGUUUCAGCAGAAACCAGGAAACGCUCCUAAGCGCCUGAUAUACAGAGCAUCCAAUUUAGGAUCAGGGGUCUCAUCCAGGUUCAAAGGCAGCGGGUCUGGGACAGAUUAUUCUCUCACCAUCAGCAGCCUGCAGCCUGAAGAUGCUGCCACUUAUUACUGUUUUCAGUAUGAUAAGUAUCCUCCCACAGUGGUACAAGUCAUAACAAUAACCUCCCAGGGAAGCAGAAGUGAGAGGCUGGGCUGCCCCAGCUGCUCCUCCUGGGGCCUCCACUGAUGACAGAGCUGCUCAGAUGCAGCCAGGAUCUGAAGGUCACUUGAAGGUGUUGAUAGAAGCAGUUGGGCAGAA